AUCACAAAAAUAGCAUUAAAUUUGACUGAAUCUAUUAAGGAUGGCUCUGACAGCACUAUUGAGUUUUGGUGAUGCAGUGGAACAUAGAUUUUAAAAAUUUUGACAUGCAUUCAAUAUUUGAAAAUAAAGUUUAACAAUUAAACUCAACCAUCGAAACUCAAAAGCCUAGGAACCCCUUAACGAUUUCAAUCAAAUCACAAAUAACAUGCAUAUUAGGAGA
rnacentral:lncRNA from 1 species